GAUGGACGCUGACAGAAUGCUUAACACAUGCAAGUCGAUGGGGAAGUGGUGCUUGCCCCCUGGCAACCAUGGCGGACGGGUGAGUAACGCGUAAGGGACUUACCUGCAGGACUGGGAUAACAGGGGAAACUCCUGACAAGACCGGAUAAUGUCAUGGAGCUGCAUGGCUUUAUGAUGAAAGGAGACGCCUGCGGAGAGCCUUGCGUCCUAUUAGCUAGUUGGUGAGGUAAUGGCUCACCAAGGCGAAGAUAGGUAGCCGGCCUGAGAGGGUGGACGGCCACAAGGGGACUGAGAUACGGCCCUUACUCCUACGGGAGGCAGCAGUGGGGAAUAUUGGACAAUGGGGGCAACCCUGAUCCAGCAAUUCUGUGUGCACGAAGAAGGUUUUCGGAUUGUAAAGUGCUUUCAGCAGGGAAGAAGUAAGUGACGGUACCUGCAGAAGAAGCGACGGCUAAAUACGUG
rnacentral:rRNA from 1 species